ensembl:lncRNA
CGGAGCUAGCUGAGCGUCGGGGCACCAGGCAGCUUCAUUAGCCACUGUGACAUUUAUCUGAUCCACCGCCGCGUCUCCAUGGCAACCCUCAGAUGCAAACACGGCAACGCGUACCGCCGAAAUCACAUGGCCUCACGUGGACCCAGACCCACAGACCCAGGUCCUCCAGCAGGGACCAGUCCACCAUAAACAGACCCAGGUCCUCCAGCAGGGACCAGUCCACCAUAAACAGACCCAGGUCCUCCAGCAGGGACCAGUCCACCAUAAACAGACCCAGGUCCUCCAGCGGGGACCAGUCCACCAUAAACAGACCCAGGUCCUCCAGCAGAGACCAGUCCACCGUGGACAGACCCAGGUCCUCCAACAGGGACCGGUCCACCAUAAACAGACCCAGGUCCCCUGGCAGGGACCAGUCCACCAUAAACAGACCCAGGUCCUCCGGCAGGGACCAGUCCACCGUGGACAGAUCCAGGUCCUCCAGCAGAGACCAGUUCACCAUAAACAGACCCAGGUCCUCCAGCAGGGACCGGUCCACCAUAAACAGACCCCGAUCUGUUAGAAUUUUAGAACAACAACAGAUUUCUAUUAAACAACAACAUAUGAUAUGAAUGUUUUGCAUCAAUUUGUGUGUGAUAACAUCUCACCACAUGUGCGUGUGUCACGGUGUGUGUUUGGUUAGCUGACCUUGGCUGCCCUGCUCCCUCCGG